rnacentral:rRNA from 1 species
AACGAACGCUGGCGGCAUGCCUAACACAUGCAAGUCGAACGAGACCUUCGGGUCUAGCCGCGCACGGGUGCGUAACGCGUGGGAACCUUCCCUUAGGGUCGGAAUAACUCCCCGAAAGGGGUGCUAAUACCGGAUAAUGUCUACGAACCAAAGAUUUAUCGCCUUUGGGUGGGCCCGCGUUGGAUUAGCUAUUUGGUAGGGUAAAAGCCUACAAAGGCGACGAUCCAUAGCUGGUAUGAGAGGAUGAUCAGCCACACUGGGACUGGUACACGGCCCAGACUCCUACGGAAGGCAGCAGUGGGGAAUAUUGGACGAUGGGCGAAAGCCUGAUCCAGCAAUGCCGCGUGAGUGAUGAAGGCCUGAGGGUUGUAAAGGUCUUUUACCCGGGAUGAUAAUGACAGUACCGGGAGAAUAAGCUCCGGCUAACUCCGU